rnacentral:lncRNA from 1 species
AAAACAACAAACUUAAAAUAACAUUAAAAAGUAUCUAAAUCACAAAUUAAAGACUGAUAAAGUCUUUCAAAUUUCAUUUCAAAAUUACAAAAAGUUCAUAAAUGUCUAGAGAUCUAAACUAGGGAGUGGGUUCUACAUAAUCAUCAUCAUCACUCUCGUCGUCGGUGUCAUCGGGAGCCGAAGUAGUAGGUCGACGAGCGAGGUUCAUCACUUGUUCUUUGAUUUGCUGAACGGUCUCACUCAUGCUUUUUUGUUCAGCU